rnacentral:rRNA from 1 species
CAUGAGAGUUUGAUCUUGGCUCAGGACGAACGCUGGCGGCAUGCCUAAUACAUGCAAGUCGAACGAUGAUAUCACUGCUUGCAGUGAUUGAUUAGUGGCGAACGGGUGAGUAACACGU